rnacentral:misc_RNA from 1 species
AGAGACUUUCCUCCUGGCAGUGGAGCCAGCGGAGAUGUGAAGUCUGUUGGAAUGAGAGCGCCUGAGGGAUGAAAAUCCGAGGGCCUCGCGCCUGAGGCCGCAAAAACGGAGAUUGAUGGGGGCGAAAUCAAUGGGGGAAUUUGAUCUAAGAGGGGCGAAUGAAGAGGAGGAGAUUGAGAGGGAGAUCGAGGACUGCAUUUCGAGAUUGAUAUGGCG